rnacentral:rRNA from 1 species
UGAGGAAUAUUGGACAAUGGGCGCAAGCCUGAUCCAGCCAUGCCGCGUGCAGGAUGACGGUCCUAUGGAUUGUAAACUGCUUUUGUACAGGAAGAAACAGUUCUACGUGUAGAACCUUGACGGUACUGUAAGAAUAAGGAUCGGCUAACUCCGUGCCAGCAGCCGCGGUAAUACGGAGGAUCCAAGCGUUAUCCGGAAUCAUUGGGUUUAAAGGGUCCGUAGGCGGUUAGAUAAGUCAGUGGUGAAAGCCCAUCGCUCAACGGUGGAACGGCCAUUGAUACUGUCUGACUUGAAUUAUUAGGAAGUAACUAGAAUAUGUAGUGUAGCGGUGAAAUGCUUAGAGAUUACAUGGAAUACCAAUUGCGAAGGCAGGUUACUACUAAUGGAUUGACGCUGAUGGACGAAAGCGUGGGUAGCGAACAGGAUUAGAUACCCGAGUAGUCCCUG